GUGCCCGUAGCUCAGCUGGAUAGAGCGCUUGACUACGAAUCAAGAGGUCGGGAGUUCGAAUCUCUCCGGGCACGCCA
rnacentral:tRNA from 2 species